rnacentral:lncRNA from 1 species
CCCCUACCAUGCGCUAUUUGGGCGGCCGGCUUACGCCCGGUUCAUGGCUCGCCCAUGCUAUGUUUACCUUAAACUCAAGAUGUCUGGUCCUAAGGGACCCAUCACGGUUGACGGUGAUAGAAGGAUUGCAAAGGAAUGUGAAGAGGGGGACGCGGCUUAAGCGGAAGUCGCCUGCGCUGCACAGGAGCUCAAAUAUCAUCGGGCCAAUGUUGAUCCGGCUGACAUGUCACCCUUAAAGAAGCCAACGACAGAUGCUGAGCCGCCCCUCAAGUUCAAACCAACGGAUGACACUAAAACGGUUGAUUUCGUUCCUGGC